rnacentral:rRNA from 1 species
CCUACGGGAGGCAGCAGUGGGGGAUAUUGCACAAUGGGGGGAACCCUGAUGCAGCGACGCCGCGUGGGUGAAGGAGCGUUUCGGCGCGUAAAGCCCUAUCGGCAGGGAAGACGAUGACGGUACCUGGCCAAGAAGCCCCGGCUAACUACGUGCCAGCAGCCGCGGUAAUACGUAGGGGGCAAGCGUUAUCCGGAUUUACUGGGUGUAAAGGGGGCGCAGACGGCAAUGCAAGCCAGGAGUGAAAGCCCGGGGCCCAACCCCGGGACUGCUCUUGGAACUGCAUGGCUGGAGUACAGGAGGGGCAGGCGGAAUUCCUAGUGUAGCGGUGAAAUGCGUAGAUAUUAGGAGGAACACCGGUGGCGAAGGCGGCCUGCUGGACUGUGACUGACGUUGAGGCCCGAAGGCGUGGGGAGCAAACAGGAUUAGAUACCCCAGUAGUC